rnacentral:misc_RNA from 1 species
GAAUAAUUGGUAGAGGAGGAGUGAUUGAGCCUGCGCUUAAGUGCGCGGUGAGGUUGUUCUUUUUCGUUACGCCGAUAAUUCUUUACACACACUGGAGUUUUAUUUCUACAGUAUCGGAGGUAGCAAUGCUUCCAACACAAAACACAAACAAUUAUUUUUAUUUUAUUAUCUAGUCAUUCAAAAUCUGCUUUACAGCAGUAACCAAAAUAUUCAAAACUUUCAACAACGGAUCUCUUGGUUCUCGCAUCGAUGAAGAACGCAGCGAAAUGCGAUACGUAAUGUGAAUUGCAGAAUUCCGUGAAUCAUCGAAUCUUUGAACGCACAUUGCGCCCCUUGGUAUUCCAGGGGGCAUGCCUGUUUGAGCGUCAUUUCCUUCUCAAAUACUUGUAUUUGGUUGUGAGUGACACUCAGUCUUGCAUUGAGUUAACUUGAAAUUGUUGGCCGUAGCGGUUGUUGCAGCUUGUCGUUUUUGUGCAAUGGUAUGUUUUCUUUACUAUUAAACAGGAUGCGUGAGCAUGUCGUAUUAGGUUUUACCAACUCCGGCAGACUCUGUAUCUUGGAAGAGCGUACUGGCAUUGAGAAGAUUGAACUGUCGACCGUGGCAAACAGUACUCUUUAAGUUUGACCUCAAA